rnacentral:lncRNA from 1 species
GGUACUGGAUCGUGCGACCUGAUUCAUAAGUAAGCCCAUCCUACGAAUCCCUAUGUGAUGCCGCCCAUUCUAAAAGAAAAAUAUAUAGUCGCUCUUCCCCAACCUCUGCUCUCUCACAAGAUGGGCAAGCCCUAGCAGUCCCCGCUGCCGGCAACUCCUUUUGCCCAUCACGUCACUCUACGCCGAUGAGAUCCCGCCAGCCCCCUCACGCUCCAUGAGCUCGCCUCCUGCCCCCCCCCCUUCUUGGCAUGGAUUAAUUGCAUCACCACGACAUCGGCCCCUCCAACUGCCCUAGAGCCCACCGUUGUUGCCCUUGCCUUUGUGACUCCACUGUCCGAGUAACCUUUGCUGGCUGCAUCCAGCCGCCCCAAAGCAUACUCUUCGCCCUCUUGUCUUGCUAUGUCUCUUCCAUUGGCAAUCCCAUAUUUGUCCCUUUGACAACCAUAUCUAUCCCUCAUCCUAAUCUACUUUGUCCUUGGGACCGAUGUUUGUUGCCAUAGGUGAGUGAUUGUCUUGUUUGCUAUAUUGAGUUGAUCUUGCAUCGAUCACAACUUGUGUCCCCGUUGUGUUCACAUGGGUGGUUGGUAGCCCCGACUGAUCUUGCUGCAUACCCUAAAUUGUGUUUCGUUGUGUUUGAAAUGAUGAUUGGGAUCACAAUAAGUCUUCGCUACUAUGAUUGGCUUGCACCCGCGCUCUCAUGGAAGUUCAUUUAUGGCUCUAGCAGAUUAGCGUUUGUUAUUUUUGUAAUUAUGUGACUUCGCUCAUUCCAUGUAACAUGCUUAAUUUGGUGCAUUUUACACUACAUUGUAUAUUGUGUAGUCAUGGUAGGUGCUCUCGCAUAUAUGUUUAGUUUACAAAUACAACAAGAGUGGUAUUCUUCAAAUGCAGAAGAUAAAGAUCAACUAUUACCUGGAGGUAAUUUGCUUAGUUGUGGAUACUAAAUGGUCAGUGUUAUGACACGGUAGUUUCCAGAAAAAAGUAUUAUGUAGUGGUGAAGUAAUCAUUUUUUAAAAUUAAAACCAUAGAACUUGCAUCAAUUUUUGUGUAUGAAUGUGCGUGCUGAAUGUAGGUUGUUCUGGAACAUUUGAAGAGUUUUCUUGACACAAAAAGUUGAGCCAAUAUUCAUUAAUCACCUCAAAUUAGUAUAUAAGUUGUAAAAUGUGAAUAUUUUAGGUGAUCCACCACACACACACACACACACUCACACACACUUUGUUUCGGAGUUUAAUAGGACCUCCUUGCUAUCUAAAACAUGCAUUAUUCAUUUGAUCUUACCAAGGACUUUUGAAUCUUUUAUACGACUAUUUCAAGGAGUAUUAAGUAUUCAUCUUUUACAUACACUACUUUGGGCAAUGGGUUGGAUUACUUAAGCCAUUCUCUAUUAUUUGUCUAUUUAUUUGAAAAUGAACUUGUUGAUUUGCCUAUUGGGAAGUCUGACUGUCACAUUGAUAUAUGAAAAUUUUCCAAUCAACUAAUAUUCCUUAAUUUCACCGUACAUUGAGCACAUUUUUAUUCACUAAUGUUCCAUCGUGAUUUCUUCCUCGGGGUUGGGAAUAUUUCUAGGAUGCUCCAUACAUCUUAUCCCAAGACUUAUUGCUUCUCAUUCACGUUGGACGUCUAUUCGCGAGAAACAUCAAUGAAACUAUAAAACAUUCAUGUGCUUCCGCUUCACGUGGUGAUUCCUUGACUCUUUGAUUUCUUCAUCUUGGCAAAUUUUGUUGAAUUUUUUCAUAUCUUCUGAAUGGACAAGCCAAUUGUAUCCUUGUAUUAUUCUUAAUGUUGGAUGAAGCCUCACAACCCCAAAACAAAUCAAUGAUAAAUGGUGACCCCGUAGCUAGCAUUGUUUUUAACCUUCUCUAAUUUUGAUUGAGCUAGAUGAUUAAUGGAGCAUAUAAACCUGCUGGAGGGAUGCUUUGAAACAUUUCAAGGGAAGGUGAUUUUAUGAAGUAUGAAGUAUCAUUGUGACCUAUCAUCUUUGCUGAUAAAUGGAAAUUACUCAUGAAUUAUUUCUAAAAACCAAAUAUGCAUCAUGUCAUCAUUUAGCGCAUAUCAGGAAAGGCCAUCUUACUAUGAUACUUAGGUCGAUGAAGUUACUUGGAUAGCAUAUUGAGCCGUCGAGUUCACGUUUCCACUUUCAAUUGAACAGAUUUCUUAAAUUAUUCUACAUCUUACAUAUUUCUAUAAAUAUGGAUGAGUGUCGCAAAGAGUGUAUUUACUACCAAGUAUGCGAACUAAAAGAAAUACAUUGGAUAUACCCAAUCAGACCAACUUCAAGCCAAUAAGAGCCAAGAAACAACAAGUUCUUCCCCAAUUCCCUAUUGUCACACUACUUCCCUACAAAUUAAUUAAAAAUUAAAUGUGCCAUUGUGACCAACUCAUAGUCCAGUUCAUGCAAAUUUAACUUACAUGUUUCAUGUCAUCAUAUAGGAUGAAAGCUAUUCCAAUUUUAUUGGACAAAUGGACGGGCGUGACAACAUGCGCCAUCAUGAUAUAAUGUUUAUUAUAGAUAGUCUAUAUUCACCUACGUUGCCUCACUAAACUGAUUUCAACCUUUUAUGUGUUUUAAGAAAUGUUUGUUAAAAGAAAAGCUCGUUAGUCACCAAAGUGGCACAUCUUAUAAAAUAUCAGAAAUUAUAAUGCUAGAGGUCACCCAAAAGCGGGCUAUUGUUUAUAGUUUGUGAUAGUAAAUGGGUUUAUUAUUACAAAGAAAAUGUGUAAAUGUACUACACUCGUGCUUAUCCAUCCAAAGGUAGUAGCAUACACGUAUAAUUUGCACAUUCACUAAAGAACAUCUGUAACAUCAUUACUCAAAAAACUAAGUUUGAGCAUAGAAGUCAGUUUGCUCACUUAACAUAUGAUCCACAUCAAGCAAAGUUACCAAUAGGAUUUUUCAUGGAAUAUAUAAACCAUGAAUUUUAAACAUAGAUACAUAAUACAAGUCAUGUAGAAAAAAUUUAAUGGCUCUUAAAAUUUGGUUUCACUAAAUGAAAGAAAUAUUACCUUGUAUGUGGUCUCCUCGAUAUGGUAAUUUAGUUACACAGAUCAAAAUCAAAGGUUCUUGCCCACCAAGAAAUUAAAUAUUGGUCAAAGGGAAAUAAAUGUACCACAAGGGAGAUGGUAUAUUUUUUCUACCUAAAGGUCAUAAGAGCAAUAUAUUUUUACAUGGCAUAAAAUAAUUCAUGAAAGGAAUUUGUAAAGGAUACAUAUAAGGCAUUAUAUGUGAUAUAUAUAUAUAUAUAUAUAUAAAAUAUAGACACACACAUACAUAUUAAUAAAAAAAUAUGUUGCAUCUUACCUCUAAAGAUUGUGCCAGUAGAAGUUUUUGUGCAUGGAGAUUUCUCACGUUUUGUGCACACAACUAAUAGGACCUAUCUAUGAAAGAUCAAUUAGUGGUGUUAUUAAAGUCCAUUUUGACCAUGCUAAAAGCAUGGGCAUAAUCUUUGUAAGGAUACAAACUUAAGUGAGUGUCGAUUGCAUUAUUAGGAUAAAAGGUAAGUCGACAUAAAAGUAACCUCAAUAUGCAUUAUUUAAAAGCUAUAAGAGAAAGAAGAAAACAAUCUUUGGUUUUAACAAGGCAUCAACAAUUAUAAUCUCUCACGUGAAAGUUUAAAGAAAACCUUAAUUAAUUAAAGGUAUCCAUAAAAGUGUGGGUGUAGCAUGAUACUGAAUUUCCAAGUGUGAAAGUUUUUUUCAAAACCCUCACAACAUAGUAUUAGUUAAUUAGUUUUUUUAUAAUCAUUCAUUACAACAAUAGCCACGCAAGGGCGAAACACUAUUACAAAGCACACCAUCCGACCUAUUAUCAAAGCUAAACUUAACAAUCUCACAUGCCAUCACAUUAGAUUGCCGAUGAUGUUUUUAAUCUUGAAAUUAUUGAAAAGCUUAGUGAUGCAAAGUACUUCCUUCUGUAGAUCAACAAGAUGGGACCUGUCGAGGGUUUCAUUUGCAAGGAAAGAAUCCACAAAGGAAUGAUCAAUUUUCGAAAUAAUGGGCUUGUGAAGGGCAAUACCAAUAUAUAAUCCGGCGAGCCAUGCUUGAAGCUCCGCUUCAUCCACAUAGGUACACGCCCCAAUAAAAUUCCAUGAUGGUAUGAUGACUUAUCCAAAAUGAUCUCUAGCCACAACCCCCAGACUAGCUGUGCUAAUGCUCUCCAUAAAACUGGCGUCAAC